AUUGAACGCUGGCGGCAUGCCUUACACAUGCAAGUCGAACGGUAACGCGGGGCAACCUGGCGACGAGUGGCGAACGGGUGAGUAAUGUAUCGGAACGUGCCCAGUUGUGGGGGAUAACUGCUCGAAAGAGCAGCUAAUACCGCAUACGACCUGAGGGUGAAAGCGGGGGAUCGCAAGACCUCGCGCAAUUGGAGCGGCCGAUAUCAGAUUAGGUAGUUGGUGAGGUAAAGGCUCACCAAGCCGACGAUCUGUAGCUGGUCUGAGAGGACGACCAGCCACACUGGGACUGAGACACGGCCCAGACUCCUACGGGAGGCAGCAGUGGGGAAUUUUGGACAAUGGACGCAAGUCUGAUCCAGCCAUGCCGCGUGCGGGAAGAAGGCCUUCGGGUUGUAAACUGCUUUUGCCAGGGGAUAAAAAGCCCAUGCGUGGGAAAUUGAAGGUACCUGGUGAAUAAGCCACGGCUAACUACGUGCCAGCCGCCGCGGUAAAAC
rnacentral:rRNA from 1 species